AGUGAACGCUGGCGGUAGGCCUAACACAUGCAAGUCGAACGGCAGCACAGUAAGAGCUUGCUCUUACGGGUGGCGAGUGGCGGACGGGUGAGGAAUACAUCGGAAUCUACUUUUUCGUGGGGGAUAACGUAGGGAAACUUACGCUAAUACCGCAUACGACCUACGGGUGAAAGCAGGGGAUCUUCGGACCUUGCGCGAUUGAAUGAGCCGAUGUCGGAUUAGCUAGUUGGCGGGGUAAAGGCCCACCAAGGCGACGAUCCGUAGCUGGUCUGAGAGGAUGAUCAGCCACACUGGAACUAGGACACGGUCCACACUACUACGGGAGGCAGCAGUGGGGAAUAUUGGACCAUGGGCGCAAGCCUGAUCCAGCCAUACCGCGUGGGUGAAGAAGGCCUUCGGGUUGUAAAGCCCUUUUGUUGGGAAAGAAAAGCAGCAGGUUAAUACCCCGCUGUUCUGACGGUACCCAAAGAAUAAGCACCGGCUAACUUCGUG
rnacentral:rRNA from 1 species